GUCUGAGCUGACUUCGGCUAUUCUUAACCCAAUCUGCUGAGCUCAGUGUAGCAAGGCCAUGGGAUCUAACUCACAGAAACUACUGUCUACAGACCCGUUUGUGGCCUCUGUGUUCAGGAGGGGGCUGGAGGCUGUUUCUUUGCCUCCACAAUCUAAACAGAAGAGCUGAUGUCAUGCUUAUAUCCUGACAUUAACCAGUGAAAAUCUGAAGAUACUUGAGAAAGAGACAAGGAUGGAGACAAGGAUUGAGAAAUGAAUGCACCUAACCCAUGUCACCCCCAAAAGAGAAAUUACUCCCAACUAGUUUUGACCUCUACCUAUCUGAGGAAACAGCAUUAUUCUAAAGAUCUUCAUGGAUGCCGGGGAGUCAAGGUCCCCGGAAGUGUGGAUGUGGCUAUCCGCCCACCUCUCCCUACCAUUAAUCCAGGAAGCAUCAACUGCCAAAGGCACCUGGAAUAGACAAAUAAAAAAAAUCAGUGAAUACAAGCUAUAGUCAGGAAACCAAUGGGGAGGAAACCAACAAGGGGGGCCUUCCUCUGGGACAUGAGUAGAUGGGGGUGGGUAGAGACCCACAAAGCAACAAUGUUUGGUAUGGAGAUUACCUGAAGGACUGGACAGGGAAAAGCUAUGAAGAAAUGGAGAAAGAACAUGAGGAAGUGAGCGGCAGAGAUUGGAGAAGACUCCCCUCCACGGUCUCCAAAGAACCCUACAAUUCGGAUCAGGAAUGGAGAGGAAGUAGUAACCGCCAUCUUGGAUCCAUCCUUCCUGGCCUCCUCAGUAUCUUCCCCGUUCUCUUUUCUAUUCCAUACCCAACCUACUUUCUAGCUGUGCUGUUACCGUGUCACCUCUGUGUCCCCCAGCCUUCUUUUGAGACAGCUACAUGAUUUCCUGAGUGUUUGCAUGGGAAGUUUGAAGUACAGCUAACUAAAGUAAAUACAAAAGACAGACGGACCAACUGAGAAAGAACCUUCUCAUUCUUGUCCUGGCCAUGCUCCACGAUCAGGCUUAAAGACAGACCACGGUUCUUCUCAGAAGUCCCGGCGCCAUUACUGUGAAGAGACAUCAGGAACGAGGCAACUUCUUGAGAAGAAAGCUUUUAAAUGGAACCUUGCCACAGUUUCAGAGGGUUAGCCAACUGGAGCAUGGUGUCAGGGAGGCAGGCAUGGUGCUGGAAAAGCAGCCAGGAGCUACCUUCUGACCCAUGGGCAGCAGAAAGAGGGAGAGACCCCGGGCCUGGCAGUGGGCUUUUGAAACUUCAAAGCCACUCCCAGUGAUACACUCCUCCAACAAGGACAUAACUCCUAGUCGGCUCACCCGCUGGGGACUAAGCAUUCAAACAAAUGAGCCCAUGGGGGCCAUUCUCAUCCAAACCAUCACAGUCCUCUUCGGCUGCUGCUUUUGCAGAACUGUUUCACCACGGGAUGGCACCUUCUUUGCAUACAAUCUCUGAGGGUCCGCACUGAAGAAUUACCAUGAUUUGGUAAUCUAAUUCCUUCCUUAUAUUUUCCUGUACUUUUUUUUCUUUCUUUUGUAUCACUUACGUGUAUAGAACUUCCUAACUAGACUGUCAACUCUGUGUUGGCCGCUACAUAUCAGGACCUAGCACAGGGCUUGGCCUGUA